UGCUUUAGGCAGUGCCAUUAAGAACUCCAUAUAAGCUGCCAACACUUUGUGGAUGUGCAGAACCCCGUAAGCUUCCUAUAGCUACUAUUGCAAGUAAAAUUUUCAGAUGCUUCUGAAGUCUUACCCACUUAUCUUGGCGUAGAGGUUCUCAAGCUUCAGCACUGGAGGAUCACCUGGAAUUGCUCGUUAAGACACACAUUGCUGGGAUCCACCUCCAGGGUGUCAGAGUCAAGUCUGGGGUGAAGCCUGAGAAUGUGCAUGUCUAACCAGUUCCCAGGUGAUGCUGAUGUUGCUGGUUUUGAGACUAUAUUUUGAGAUUAAGAACUGCCUUGGAUUAAGAGCUGACCUGCGAUCUACAGCUCAAAUAGUGAAGUAAACAUCCUAAAGAAAAUGGAAAAACCAGUGCAGGAGUUAUCCAAAGCCCCCUUCACAAGAAAUGCUAGCUUUCAGGAAUAAUCAAUCAAGCACACCUUUGAGCAAAUUUCUGGAUCAGCACAGAAAACUCUCUCCUUUGUCAGAUUGAAAACCUGUAGCAGGGGGACAGCCAAGAUGGCCGAAUAGGAACAGCUCUGGUCUACAGCUUCCAUCAAGCUACCAAUGACUUUCUUCACAGAAUUGGAAAAAACUACUUUAAAGUUCAUAUGGCACCAAAAAAGAUCCCGCAUUGCCAAGUCAAUCCUAAGCCAAAAGAACAAAGCUGGAGGCAUCACACUACCU
rnacentral:lncRNA from 1 species